GCAGUGGUAGUUCAGUGGUAAAAUGAUCUCACCUUCCAUGUGGGAGAUCCAGGUUUGAACCCUGGCCAAUACA
rnacentral:tRNA from 1 species